rnacentral:lncRNA from 1 species
AAUUCACUAAAUUCAAAAUGUCUCGAUUGUCUUCGAGACUCGAAUCCAAAACCUUUAAUUAAGAGGGGAUAACUCAAAUAAUGAAUGGAAAAUCCAAUAUGCAGAGGUGAAAUAGGAGCCAAAGUUCCAAUUCGCAGCAAGAAAAUCUAAGAAGGCAUUAAAACAGUUCUUCCUGGGGCAUUACAAAGAUUUUCUUAGAUUUUCGAUACAUUGCCUGUAAAACUGGCGUCGGUUCGAGCCCUACAGGGCCACUAGAGAUAUUACAAACUAUUCAUGUCUCCGGGGCCAUGGAAUUCACCGGUGGAUCCGCCUUGAAACAGUGAGGCCCGAAGGAUACAGCUAGUCGGGGAGUGGUUGGUAAAAACUGAGGAGCAAAAAACUCUUUGGCACCAGCUGUACCUCAAGACAACGGUUAACAAAAAAAGAAAAAAAAAGGGUCCAUUAGAGUAAUAAAUAGGCAAUGUAUAAAUUUUUUUAACCUCCUUAAAAUGUAAAACAAUCCUGAAAUAAAAUAGUUUACCUAAAACAAAAAUAUCUGCAACAACAAGUAAAGAUGAUCUAAUAGUGCGAAAAACAUCUUAAACUAACGAUGCAUAUACUUAAAUUUAUUUAUUUUCUAUAACGAGAUAAAAAAUGUCAAUUUGAAAUUACCUCGAAGUGUUUUCACCCCAUGUUGUAAAUUCUCAUAAUUGACCACAACUACACAUGUUUCAUAUAUUCUUGAACAAAUGAAUGAGUCUCAAACCCUCUUUCAGAUAAAUUAAAAAUAUACACUUAUAGGACGCUGUUAAAAAAAUUCAGGCAAAUUACAAAGAGAAUAUUAAAUCACUUUUGAUCAAGAAUAUAAAACCAAACGCUUCGAACAGAGAGUACAGAGAUACUUCCUCUUGAACCUAAAGCAAAUAGGGAGAAAGCAAAAUCUGAAACGGCCUUCUACAUCAACAAGGACAUGCCCCUGCUGCUACUUUUCUUCCUACCUCUUUCUCAUCUUCUUCACAUACACAUGACAACAAACACAUCUUCUCUUCUUUUAGUAUUUAUUUUUCAGCUUCUUCUCACUGCAAUUUCUUUCUCCUUAAAAUUUAAAUAAAAUGUGGGAAAUAGUUCUUUUUUCUUGAGGGGUUUUUGCUGGAGCGAGGUGAGAGAGAAAGACAAAGGGUUUUCUGCGUAUACGAUGAUUUGGUGAGAUUUUUGAGGAUGAGAAGUUGUAUGGCUUAUGUGUGUGUUGUGUAUAUAUAGAAGCAUACCUGUUCUGUGCAUAUAACAGCGGUCCUA